rnacentral:rRNA from 1 species
CACGUAGGAGGCGAGCGUUGUCCGGAAUCAUUGGGCGUAAAGAGCUCGUAGGCGGCUUGUCGCGUCGACUGUGAAAACCCGAGGCUCAACCUCGGGCCUGCAGUGGGUACGGGCAGACUAGAGUGGCGGUAGGGGAGAUUGGAAUUCCUGGUGUAGCGGUGGAAUGCGCAGAUAUCAGGAGGAACACCAAUGGCGAAGGCAGAUCUCUGGGCCGUAACUGACGCUGAGGAGCGAAAGCAUGGGGAGCGAACAGG